rnacentral:rRNA from 1 species
UGGGGAAUAUUGGACAAUGGGCGCAAGCCUGAUCCAGCCAUGCCGCGUGAGUGAUGAAGGCCUUAGGGUUGUAAAGCUCUUUUAGCAGGGAAGAUAAUGACGGUACCUGCAGAAAAAGCCCCGGCUAACUUCGUGCCAGCAGCCGCGGUAAUACGAAGGGGGCUAGCGUUGCUCGGAAUCACUGGGCGUAGAGCGCACGUAGGCGGCUUACUAAGUCAGGGGUGAAAUCCUGGAGCUCAACUCCAGAACUGCCUUUGAUACUGGUGAGCUUGAGUUCGGGAGAGGUGAGUGGAACUGCGAGUGUAGAGGUGAAAUUCGUAGAUAUUCGCAAGAACACCAGUGGCGAAGGCGGCUCACUGGCCCGAUACUGACGCUGAGGUGCGAAAGCGUGGGGAGCAAACA